GACGUAGGGCGCGAGCGUUGUCCGGAAUUAUUGGGCGUAAAGAGCUCGUAGGCGGCUUGUCACGUCGGGUGUGAAAGCCCGGGGCUUAACCCCGGGUCUGCAUUCGAUACGGGCUAGCUAGAGUGUGGUAGGGGAGAUCGGAAUUCCUGGUGUAGCGGUGAAAUGCGCAGAUAUCAGGAGGCACACCGGUGGCGAAGGCGGAUCUCUGGGCCAUUACUGACGCUGAGGAGCGAAAGCGUGGGGAGCGAACAGG
rnacentral:rRNA from 1 species